rnacentral:rRNA from 1 species
AAAUUGAAGAGUUUGAUCAUGGCUCAGAUUGAACGCUGGCGGCAGGCCUAACACAUGCAAGUCGAGCGGAAACGAGUUAACUGACCCUUCGGGUGACGUUAACGGCGUCGAGCGGCGGACGGGUGAGUAAUGCCUGGGAAAUUGCCCUGAUGUGGGGGAUAACCAUUGGAAACGAUGGCUAAUACCGCAUAAUGCCUUCGGGCCAAAGAGGGGGACCUUCGGGCCUCUCGCGUCAGGAUAUGCCCAGGUGGGAUUAGCUAGUUGGUGAGGUAAUGGCUCACCAAGGCGACGAUCCCUAGCUGGUCUGAGAGGAUGAUCAGCCACACUGGAACUGAGACACGGUCCAGACUCCUACGGGAGGCAGCAGUGGGGAAUAUUGCACAAUGGGCGCAAGC